AAUUUUUUUUUUUUUUUAAAAUCUAUGUUAACUAAUGGAGUCCCUGAGAUUAGCAUUCUCCCAUGGGCGUUUGCUGAGUGAAGAAGGGAACUUGGGUCAAAUCCCACUUGUGAGCAGGUGAAGAGUUUUUCUUUCCAAAGGCCACAGAGCAAUCCACAGAGCAGACAUAAAUGUGGAAGCCUCCUCCUCUUCUGUAAUGUCCUUUCCACUUUUUCCAACUAUUACUUAUUAAUAUGGUCUCCCUGGCCACAGAAGACAGGAAGACAGUAAGAAAAAGAAAGACCCCACAUCUGAAUGCCAUGGCUUUUUUUUUUAUUCCACCAUUUCCUGCUCAUACAUAUUAUCUCAAGAGCUACUUAUGUUUCUCAUUCGCUUCUUGUGAGGUUAUCCCUUUAAUGGCCCGAAACACAACCUCCAUACCGGUGACCACUAUCACUGAACGGCCAUGCCCUCCCUUCCCUGCUCUGCUCAGCUCUGCCUUGGCAGUGGUCACAGUCCUUUGUGACCUGCUGGGUGUGAGCACAGUGAGGGCUUCUCACAACACAAGAAUGGCUCCGGAUGGGGGUAUUGGGGAACCAGAAUGACUGGGGCGGGAGAGAGAGUUCUGCCAGGAAACAAGGGCUGUGACUUCAGGGCGUAAAGCCAAUGUUGACAGGUCUGCCUGAUGGCUGUUUAUGUCCAGGACCACCAUGGCACUUAUUACCAUGAAAAGGAGCUGAGAAAGCAGGAGAUUGGCAGGGAACACCAGGGAAGAAAGCAGAUGCGGGAGUCACGGUCAUCCUAGCCGGAUGGGGCAUGAGUCCACGCUUCCAUCCCUGUCGCCCCCAAGACCGACAGCCUUUGCAGUAUGACAAAGGUCUAAGACUGUGGGAGAAAAGGCACUCAGACUCACAUGUCAGAACUUGGAGCAUGCCUGGAGGCUGCUGUCAAUACGACAGCCAAGUAGGUGGUCCUGUAAUACGCCUUGCACAGGGGAUGCUGGGGCCAGGCCAACACGGGGACGCAGUAGGAAGGGCUCGUGCCCUCCACCUCCCAUCCCCCCCAAGAACGAUGAGGCACAGGGCUCUCCAGCUGCCCCCUCCCCAUCUCAUAAUGAAACAACUUCAUAUGAGAGGAGGGGACGUGAUAUUCACAUUAAAUAGAACAGCCUAUGAAAUGAGCUACAUGAACUGGGAAACCCAAAUGGAGGUUCUUUUUGUUCUUUUGUUCUGUGAGAAUGUUAAAUACUAUGAUGUUUCUCCCCAUUAAGACAAAAACCGAAGACCGAGACAAUCUGCUAGAGCAACACCUGGUGAAUUUUAUCAUGGCCACCACCAGUGGUGCCCCCAGGAACCUGAGGCCUAGUACAUUCCCUGGCCCUGGGGUCCCUAACAGGCCCUCUGAUUCCCCAUUUCCAAGCACACUGCCUAUUCUGAUUCUUUGUAAACUGUCUUCAGCAGAAUAAUGAGAUGGGCAUCUUUCAGGAGAGAGGUGAAAAUGGUACAAGCCUACUCUGUGCUUGCUUGCCACGGGAUUUUUCAUGAAGGUGGUCUGGAAGACAGGGGGAUAGUGGGUGAGAUAUUUGUGCCAGGAUCCUUACUCUCAGCUGUUGCAAAGGUGAGUGACCAAGUGCCCGAGUAAUUGGUGGGAAAGUUAUGGCUGAGGGAUGGGUGACCAGAACUUCAUGGCACUCUGAAGGAAGACCAUGACUGAGGCUGCCUGGAGAGGUCAUUGUGCUAGAAGAUGGCAAUGUUCAGGGACACCCCCUCAUGACUUAUGCUAAUGUCACCGAUGGUCAGGAACAGACCUGGGAAGCUGAAGUCACCUUUGGGAAUGCUUUCAUUGAAAAGCAAGCCAUGCAGGUUCUCUCUGGACUUUCAUCUACCCAACCUGUGUCUAGCCCUUAAACCCCUUACUCUUCCCAAAGAACUGGUCUACCUUUCAGUCAUUGAAAAGACACCAGGGCAAAGUUCAUGUAAUUGCCUCUUCCAGUCUGGCUUUCUCUAAUUAGCUGGACCAUCCUCCAUUGGCUUGGUGUGAAAGGAACAUCUUUACAUGCCAACAUGUCAGACAUUCUUACACUGAAAAAGUCUACAACUUUUUUUGGGAGGAAGUAGUUUAUGUAGUUAGUUUGCUUUUGGGUAGAUGUGAAUACUACUGAAAAGCUGAGAUGUGCAUACAUAUCUGAGUCUGUAUCCAGAGAAAUAGAUCUCAGCAGGAGGGAAAAAGCUUAUCUUAACCAUUAUUAAAUUACAUGCUUAUCCUCCAACUUUACAUUGCUCUAUUGGGAAUUCAGAUAGGACCAAUUCACUGGCCACAGGCACUAUUCAUCCUUGUGGCUUUUCUUGUCUUCCCCUCCUGCUCACCAAUUCGUUAAAGAAACAGCUCAAAAUGCCACUGUGAAAGGAUGAGACAAAAAGUCAAAUCAGCUAAAAUGUAAAUGGCGAGAACAUGAAACACUUGGCAUUCAAAGGGGCUAAAAUUAAGUUGAUGGUUAUGGCUGAAUUUAAAUUAUUCCUACACUAUUUGGAGAUCUACUCAAGGAAACCCAAGGUUUGGGACAGAAGGAGGUGGUUGUUAUGAAUUUAGUUUUGGAAUCAUUCAGACUGGGUUUGACCAGUACUAUCUCUUCUCUUGUGAUUCUAAGCUGCAAAACCAGUAUCAAGCCUGAGAUUUUGUAAUUAUAGAGUGAAUCUGACAGAAAUAAAUCAUUGCCACCACCCUAUACACUCUAUACAAACUAGCCACCACAAAUCUCUCCAUUAAGUGGGGUAAUUGGGUUACCCAAGUGUUAGGAUCAGGUUGUGUUGAGAAAGACCUAUUUUUCUUAGUCCAGCAGACUUCUCCUUAAAAAUCUACCAAUUCUCAUCAUACCAGGAUGUUGUAUCAUUGUAUCACGGGACGGGGGAAGCCAGGUCCUUUCAGGAGCACUGGUUGGGGAAUUCUGGGUGACCAAGCCUAAUUUCUGAGUUCCUUUGAAAACGAUUUAAAACCAAGUGAAUUGUUAAAAUUGUUCUGUUUAAAAAUACAAACAUUCAGCUACCUCAGACUUUGAUAAGUAAAAUAAACAAAACCGGAAACCUGGCUGAAAACCCUUAGAAAACACUCAGAUACUAAGGACUCAACUUCAGUGGUUUAAAAAGCAGAGGAGAGUAAACUGAUUUCCACUUGGGCAAGAGCUUGUUUCUUUCAUGUGUCCCAAAUCAAAAUCAGUAUUUUUAGAAUAUUGGAAAGCCCUACAAGAGAGGGAGUGGGAAAGCAAGGAGCUUGGGAGUCAGGUCUGGCUUCAAGAAUUACUGACCAUAUGAUGCUGGGUAACUUACUUGCCUUCUGACAGCUCAGUUUUCCUACCUGCAUAAUGGACAUAGUAUGGUUGAUUUUGCAAAGACUUUAUGAGGACUAGUAAUAAUGCAUAUAAAGCAUUAGGCCCAGGGCUUGGCUCGUUGAAAUGUUCAGUAAAUGGGGGUCUUCGCUGUUAUUUCUCCAAUUCCAAAUUACAUAAUUAUAAUUAGGUUUAUAAUUCAGAUUAUAAUUAGGUAAAAGGCAAAAAGCAAUUUCUAAUUUUUAAUGCUUUUUACCUAGUUAGUCCAUUGCAAAUUCAAGUUUCCAGUUAAAUCUGGAAGGUGCCACUCAACUUGCUUUUUGGAGAACCAUCUCUUCUAAAUUGGGCGCCAGCAUACUUAUUCUAAAAACAUUUUUUCUGGUCCUCCAUCAAAAAAAAAAACUUUAGACACUGGGGGACAAAUCCAAAUUUCAUUAGUACUUAGGUCCGACCACAAAACUUCUGAGGUUGAUUACAGUCUCUUGGGGGCUUUUGCUUGCUUUUCCUCUACUGAUGAGCUUCUCUGGACCAAAAGUUUUGGAGUCACCACUAGUGUUCAUGGGGCCAUCAUUAGUGACCUUCUGGGAAGAGAAGUAUUGAGACUGAGAUACAUCAUCUCAAAUGUUCUCUGAUCCCCCUUCUCAGAGUUGAGCCUGCUGUUCUGGGGUCAGAUCUGGAUGUGCCCUGUGGAGGCUGCAGUUGGUAAAUAUAUAGCAUUUGCCUCCUGCUGAAGCAAGAAAACAUUUGGAAAGCAGAAAAGGAAAGGUAGGGAGAGGCAGAGCUUCAGAAACUUUCUUCCUCAGAAAUCCAUGUACUGAAAAGUCAAUUUAAUGCCACACGUCUGGAGAAACUGAUCACCUGUGUGUGACUUUCUCAUAAGGACUAAAAAAACCAGUGGGAAAUAAUUGACAGAAUUGAUGGUGAAAACUGAUGAUCUCUACACCAUAACAGUUUAUCUUCCCAGAAAGGAACAAUUUGAUAACCUUAAAGACUUCUCUGACUUAAAAAAAAUGGGAAUUUGAUAUCAAACACAUUUGGGAAAUACUGCAGACUAUACCUACCUAAUACUCAUUAGACUAUGGAAAGAAAAGUUCUGGGGCAGGAAAUCCAUAGAACUAGAGGGAGGAGGUGAUGUUCCCCUGUAGGGGAUGUGGCUAUGUUUGAAGACAUUUUUGGUUAUUACGACCCAGGGGAUAUACUAUUGGCAAUCCAGUGGGUAGAGGUUAAGGCUGCUGCUAAACAUCUUCCAAGGCACAGACCACCUCCCCCAGUUAAGAAUUACCUGAUCUCAUAUGUCAACAGUGUUGAGACUGGGAUAUCCUGAUUCAUACCUUUUUAUAACCCAAGAAAUACUUGCUGUAUCACUGCCUUAGUCUCUAGUCAAAAAUCCAAUCUGCUACUUCCCUGAUAAAAUGCACACUAGGGAUUCAUCCUAUUUUUUAAAAAAAUAUCUGAAGGAAAACUUAAAUAUUCAACUCUGACACCAAUUCCUCGAUCUAGCUGGACCAUUACAUACACGCAUUCUAUCAUGGAUGAGGGAAACAUGGACUGCUUGAAACACAAGCCAAAAAAGCAACAAAUACAUACGACCUAUCAGGCUGUUACAAUUUUAAAGCAUGAACACGUUGGAGUAGCCCUUGUUUUCUAGAAGCGCCCAUCCUCAAUUGAUGCCCUUCUUUCUAAAGUUGGUCACUCUUGCUGAACUUGCCGUGCAGAAUGUCUGUGGAUUAUACUGGACACAUUUGUAUACAUCUGUAACAACCUCCCCAUUCCCCCUCCAGAAAAAGGAUGAGGGAUACUGAUUGUGGAUUUGCAAAUUCAGUCUGGUGAGGCAACUUUGAGAUCUCAUACUUUCAGCUCAGCCUUGAAAAUCUUAGACUGACCUUGAUGGCUUCCUGGAAUCCCACAUAAUAUUUAAUGGGAAAUUCAAUUCUGCGGAGAGAACUGUUUUCUGAUAGCUAAACAGCAUCGUUCCAUGGGGCUUGUAACUGUGACCUCAACUUUGACUUUUGAUUAGGAAUCCUCCUCCUCACCAGAUGUCUCUUAAGGCUUUCUCAACCUUGGCACUAUUUCAACAUUUUGGCACCUCCUCCCUGACAUCAUGUCCCUGACCCACCACCACUAAGGGGUUCCCGGAUAUUUCACAGCUGAUGACGAGAGGGAAAUCAUGAUCUCACCAACAGAGUUCAAACUGCAAUGAAAUACUUCCCAAACCAUAGCCAAGUCUUGUCCUACACCUGCCAUGUGGACGGAGGAAUACAGGGGACAAUGACGGCUGAAAACAGGAACAGAACCCAAAGCUGUAGACUGUCCUACCAAUGGGAGCAGAGGAGACUCAGUGUUGCCCAAAGAAGAGCUUAGUUUUAGCUCAAGAAACAGUUUGGAAGACAUCUCAUUGCAUUUGAUGACUUUUAUUUCAAACAAAGAGCUUUCAGUGGCUCAGUGAAGAAUAUGAAAAGCUGCCUUCCUGAAACUUCCUUCAAAGAGGGAAUGAUCUCCUGGAAUUCAAGCUUCUACAAGGUGACUACCUGGUGUUUCCCAUUUUUGUCUUCUCCUAAAAAGCAUCAAUCAAGCCUUGCCCUUUCAGCCCACUGAACACAUAAACACUCUUUCUCCUUAACUGAACUUACUGCCACGAUGAACUUGAACUCUAAGACGCACAAGAGGAGAGUUGUUUUAACAGCUGCUUUUACACGGAGGCCCUGGAGUUACUACUCUCAAGACAGCUGGUUCUGAUAAGCCUCUCUUUGCACUGUCCUGUUUUUUCUAAUGCCCAGCUGUCAGAGAACACCCCCUGCAGUGCUCCAAAACAAAGGCACAAAGCAGAAGAAAGGCAGGAGAAUGGUACUCACUUGGAUAUAAGGGAUAUCCUACUUAGGGACCCUUUUUACAAGCUGGCAUAGGGUUUUUCUCUCCAGUUUACUUUAAUAAGUUUAGAAAUUUCUUGGCUAGUUGAAUAUUAAUUGCUUAAGAUGCACUGUUGUCUGAGGUUGCCCUGUCCAAUAUGGUAGCCACCAGCUACAGGUGGCUAUUUAAAUUUAGAGUAAUUAAAAUUAAAUACAAUGUAAAGUGCGGUCUCCCUGUUGCCCUUAGCCAUAUUUCAAGGGCUUUGUAUUAGCCACAUGGGUCUAGUAGCUUCCAUAGUGGAAAGCAAAAAUAGAAAACAUUUCCAUCAUUGUAGAAACUUACUGGAUUGCAUUGGCCAAGGCAUAUCCCCUUUCUAAUAGGAGAAAGGGGAUGCAGAUCUGCCUACAAAUAAUGGUUUUGUAGGCUCGGCCUGUAUUGAUUACUUUCCAUACUACUUCCUGUACACUUUUUUUUUUUUUUUUUUUGGCUGCCAAUGUUCCAUUUUAUAAAUUCUUGGAAAGGGUAGUUGUGGUCUUUAAAACCACCCAUGAAAAUGAUCCCACUUUGGAGGAAAUAAAACAACAAGAAGCAAAGGUGGUGGCAUGGCAAUCCACACAUUCCAGGUCUUUUUAUUGGUAAUCCUUAAAUAACACAGGGGGAAAUGAGCCUCAGCCAGGACUUCCCACACAGGUAUGGAGGCUGAGAACCCUCGCAGGGAGAGAUGGAAAGCCAGGCCCUCUGCUUAUCCUGGCUCUCAGAUCAUUGAACUCAUGUCUGGGUUAUGAUGUAAGGGUGAAUAGAAGCACAUUCUCUGAUAGGAGGUUUUGUCACUGGGGCGCCUGGGUGGCUCAGUGGUUAAAGCCUCUGCUUCGGCUCAGGUCAUGAUCCCAGGGUCCUGGGAU